rnacentral:rRNA from 1 species
GCGGAGCNUUACAUGCAGUCGAGGGGCAUCGGGAGGGAAGCUUGCUUUCCUUGCCGGCGACCGGCGCACGGGUGAGUAACACGUAUGCAACCUGCCCUCUUCAGGGGGACAACCUUCCGAAAGGGAGGCUAAUCCCGCGUAUAUCGGUUUCGGGCAUCCGAGAUCGAGGAAAGAUUCAUCGGAAGAGGAUGGGCAUGCGGCGCAUUAGCUUGACGGCGGGGUAACGGCCCACCGUGGCGACGAUGCGUAGGGGUUCUGAGAGGAAGGUCCCCCACACUGGUACUGAGACACGGACCAGACUCCUACGGGAGGCAGCAGUGAGGAAUAUUGGUCAAUGGGAGAGAUCCUGAACCAGCCAAGCCGCGUGAGGGAAGACGGCCCUAUGGGUUGUAAACCUCUUUUGUCGGAGAACAAAACCCGGGACGUGUCCCGGACUGCGUGUAUCCGAAGAAAAAGCAUCGGCUAACUCCGUGCCAGCAGCCGCGGUAAUACGGAGGAUGCGAGCGUUAUCCGGAUUUAUUGGGUUUAAAGGGUGCGUAGGCGGUCUGUUAAGUCAGCGGUAAAAUUGCGGGGCUCAACCCCGUCGAGCCGUUGAAACUGGCAGACUUGAGUUGGCGAGAAGUACGCGGAAUGCGCGGUGUAGCGGUGAAAUGCAUAGAUAUCGCGCAGAACUCCGAUUGCGAAGGCAGCGUACCGGCGCCAGACUGACGCUGAGGCACGAAAGCGUGGGGAUCGAACAGGAUUAGAUAC